rnacentral:rRNA from 1 species
GAAGGCCGCCAUUAGGGAAUUUUUCCCACAAUGGGGCGAAAACCCUGAAGGAACCAACGCCCGCGUUUUUGGAUGAAAGGUUUUCGGGUUCGUAAAACCCCUGUUGUAUGGGAAGAACAGCUUGAAUUGGGAAAUGAUUUUAGUUUGACGGUACCAUACCAGAAAGGGACGGCUAAAUACGUGCCAGCAGCCCCGGUAAUACGUAUGUCCCAAGCGUUAUCCGGAUUUAUUGGGCGUAAAGCGAGCGCAGACGGUUUAUUAAGUCUGAUGUGAAAGCCCGGAGCUCAACUCCGGAAUGGCAUUGGAAACUGGUUAACUUGAGUGCAGUAGAGGUAAGUGGAACUCCAUGUGUAGCGGUGGAAUGCGUAGAUAUAUGGAAGAACACCAGUGGCGAAGGCGGCUUACUGGACUGCAACUGACGUUGAGGCUCGAAAGUGUGGGUAGCAAACAGGAUUAGAUACCCUGGUAGUCCACACCGUAAACGAUGAACACUAGGUGUUAGGAGGUUUCCGCCUCUUAGUGCCGAAGCUAACGCAUUAAGUGUUCCGCCUGGGGAGUACGACCGCAAGGUUGAAACUCAAAGGAAUUGACGGGGACCCGCACAAGCGGUGGAGCAUGUGGUUUAAUUCGAAGCAACGCGAAGAACCUUACCAGGUCUUGACAUCCUUUGAAGCUUUUAGAGAUAGAAGUGUUCUCUUCGGAGACAAAGUGACAGGUGGUGCAUGGUCGUCGUCAGCUCGUGUCGUGAGAUGUUGGGUUAAGUCCCGCAACGAGCGCAACCCUUAUUGUUAGUUGCCAGCAUUCAGAUGGGCACUCUAGCGAGACUGCCGGUGACAAACCGGAGGAAGGCGGGGACGACGUCAGAUCAUCAUGCCCCUUAUGACCUGGGCUACACACGUGCUACAAUGGCGUAUACAACGAGUUGCCAGCCCGCGAGGGUGAGCUAAUCUCUUAAAGUACGUCUCAGUUCGGAUUGUAGUCUGCAACUCGACUACAUGAAGUCGGAAUCGCUAGUAAUCGCGGAUCAGCACGCCGCGGUGAAUACGUUCCCGGGUCUUGUACACACCGCCCGUCACACCAUGGGAGUUUGUAAUGCCCAAAGCCGGUGGCCUAACCUUUAGGAAGAGCCGUCUAAGCAGACAGAGUCCCG